CGCCCGCGCCCCUCUGGCCUCUGAUUGGCUACGGCUGGCUCUUAAAAGACGCGGCCAAUGGCUGCGAGCGCCAGAGGCCGGGGAGCAGGCGAGCAGCUGGGUGUCGGUCGGCUUCUCCGGCCGGGGUGGGAAUGGCUACCGGGCCCGGACAGCAAGCAGCGGCCAAGUGCCCGGGUGGGUCGCGGCGGGCGGCUGCGGGGCUCGCCCUUUGUCUGCGCCGUUCCAAAAUGGCUGCGGCCAGGGCGGGCGGGCGGGCGGCGGCAGCGGCGCGGUGCUCCCGAGGCCCGGGCGACCGGUCAGCGAGGAGCAGGAGUCCUGGCACGAAGGCGCUUUCGGGGCGGCUAGAGGUGUGCGGAGGACGCCGCGGGCGCGAGGGUCUGCUCCUCUGACUUAUGGCCGUGGGUACGAGGACGGCCGAGAAACAAAUUCCAGACGGCAAAGCUCCUUGUUGGAACCUCGCUGUAACCUCUCAGGGUCAUCGCCACUUCUGAGGAGACCUGCCACAGUCAGCGCAGAUCCAGCACUGUGGAUGAAGGGUUUGACGUGGCAAAUGAUUUUUUUUUUUUCUUUCCUGCCUUAAAAGAGACUCUUUCACCAGUACACACCUGUAAUCCCAGCUCUUGGAAGAUGAAGGACAAGGAAUUCAACCUGUGUUAUAUGUUUAUUUGAAGGCCAGCCUGGGGCCUCAUGAGGCCCUAUUUCUGAAAGGUGGGGUGAGGACUCUUCUCUGAAAAGCAGAAUAUGGCUGAGCCCAUGUGCUGAUCCUGUCCUAAUCUCAAACUAAAUGGCUUAUUAAUAACUAUAGUACAAACCCCUCCCCUCCUCGCCCCACCUCACCUCUUCUCUAAGCAUCAAUGUACCUAAGGAACUGUGCACACUGAAGCCCAAGAACGGGGCACCCACAUGCAAAAAGUGUGUUGGGGAAGCCUAACAGAAAUUCUGUUCUAAACAUUGGCCCCCAGGUUGGGAAAGCCCGUAAAAAGAGGCCAACAAUAAGGAAACAGGUUAAGUGCUACAAGCCAGUGUGGGCUUGUGUGCCCUCUCCAAGGAGUACCUGAGCUUGGCUUUGGCUUGGCACCAGAGCAGAAGUUUAAAGUUGUAAAUGAGACCUAAGAGUCUUCUUGUGGCACAGGAGAGCAUACUCAGGGCCAAUAGCAUGCUCGGUGGGUGCAGUACUACUGAGCGACAUGCUCUCAGCCCCAAAUCGGAAUUUUUAAAUGUUGAUGACUGGUUGGAAGAUUUUAAAGUACAUCAAACCAUCAGCAGGCUCUUUCUAGUCCCGCUGGUGUGUUGGUUAAUAGGAACCGCCAGCUAGGUGAACAGCAAUCUGUACCCCAAAACCCUUAGAUGAGAAGGGAGCAAAACAAUGGAUGCCUAUAAAAAAAAGUCUGGAGCUCCCACCAAGGGCCUGUGUGACUGGCACUUCCAUCGCCACAACCCCUACACUGCAUGUCCAUUACUGCCACAGUUCUAAGCUCUUUCUUGAGGGUAAGCACGGUGAUCUCCAUAGAGCAGUGGCUUCUGCCCCUCUGAGGCCCACCAGGACUUCUCUGUGUGGUCCCAAAUCUCUUCAAGAUGGACUCAGCCUCCUACUGUGCCUAAGCAUCUGCUGGUAGCACAGCCCCUGGGCUGCACCUAAGUUGCAGAUAUAGGGUUAAGGUGCCCACAACACCUUAAUUCUUUGCUGAAGGGUCCAAUGCUAGAGCCACAGCUCAGGCGGCUGUUUUCCAGAGCACUGCCCCUAAGACUGAAGUGAAUGGAGGUAAAAAUCAUGUGUCUGCUCCCCGCCUCCAAAUAUAUAUGCAAGGGGCAGAAGACACUGUCAGCCUCUUAACCCUUGUCACUCUGGAGACUAAAGGACAACUGUUCUUUCAGUGUCUCCAUUGACACAUUGCCAGAGGCCAUUACAACUUGUGUAGCCUUAAAAGAGAAAUGGAAGAUUCAUUAAGACAAAUAAAAUGAUAAAACACA